rnacentral:rRNA from 2 species
AAGGGGUGUAUUUAUUAGAUUAAAAACCAAUGCCCUUCGGGGCUCACUGGUGAUUCAUAAUAACUUCUCGAAUCGCAUGGCCUUGCGCCGGCGAUGGUUCAUUCAAAUUUCUGCCCUAUCAACUUUCGACGGCUGGGUCUUGGCCAGCCGUGGUUACAACGGGUAACGGAGGGUUAGGGCUUGACCCCGGAGAAGGAGCCUGAGAAACGGCUACUACAUCCAAGGAAGGCAGCAGGCGCGCGAAUUACCCAAUCCCGACUCGGGGAGGUAGUGACAAUAAAUACUGAUACAGGGCUCUUUUGGGUCUUGUAAUUGGAAUGAGUACAAUUUAAAUCCCUUAUCGAGGAAUAAUUGGAGGGCAAGUCUGGUGCCAGCAGCCGCGGUAAUUCCAGCUCCAAUAGCGUAUAUUAAAGUUGUUGCAGUUAAAAAGCUCGUAGUUGAACCUUGGGCCUGGCUGGCCGGUCUGCCUCACCGCAUGCACUGGUCCGGCCGGGCCUUUCCCUCUGGGGAGCCGCAUGCCCUUCACUGGGUGUGUCGGGGAACCAGGACUUUUAC